UGAUUAUACCUAUAGAGACAUAGAUACAGAAGAAAAUUUAGAAAUAGUAAAUGAUAGAAUAAGUACAACAAAAAGAAUAGCUAAUGAAAAACCAGAAUCAUCAAGCUCAUCAAAAAGAACAAGUUAUGAAACAAAUUCAAUAAGUAAUUUAAACCAAUAUUACAUAACAGGAAAAAUAAAUGAAAAAGAAUAUCUAAUACUUUUGAAUACAGGACAAGAAGAAAAUCAUAUAGCAAAAUAUCUAGUAAAAAAUGAAGAAAUAAAAACUGACAAUGAUAUAUGCCCAGAUCUACCAAGAAGUUUAAUAAAUAAUAAAAAUAUAGCAGAAAAAGAAAUAAUAAUAGGAGUUAGAAAAAUAAAAAUAGAAUUCGAAGUAAAGGAAGAAAUGCAAAAAGCAGAUAUAAUAUUAGGAAUAAAAUGGUUAGAACAAGUAAAACCAUAUAAUAUAGAACAUACACAAUUAACCUUAACAUAUAACAAAGAAAAGUUAUUCUUAAAAAGAGCCUUAACAUGAAAUGAAGAUAUAUGUAUUAAUGAAGAUAGUAGUAGAAGGAUAUUACAGUAGAUAUUAUACGCCUAUGAUAGAUACAGGAGCAGAAGCUAAUUUAUGUAGAUAUAAUUGCUUACCAGAAAGCAAAUGGGAUAAACUAAAAACACCAAUAAUAGUUAAAGGAUUUAAUAAUGAAGGAAGCUUAAUUACUUAUAAAGCUAGGAAUGUAAAAAUACAAGUAUGGGAUAAGAUAUUAACAAUAGAAGAAAUUUAUAACUAUGAAUUAACAUCAAAAGAUAUACUUUUAGGAAUGCCAUUUUUAGAUAAAUUAUACCCACAUAUAAUAACCAAAACAGACUGGUGGUUUACAACACCAUGCAAACAAAAAGUAAGAGCAAAAAGAGUUAAUAAUAAAAUAAGAAAGAAAACUGAUUGGAUAAAAGGAAGUGAAAAAAUUACACAAAAGUUAGAAAAUAUAAAAAAUACUGAAGAUACAGUAGAACUAGUAGUAUUUUCGAUAAAUAAAACAGAAAUAACUAUAUUUUCAAUAAAUAAAAUAGAAAUAAUUCAGAAAAAAUUAGAACAAUUAUAUAGUGAAGAUCCAUUAAAAGGAUGGGAAAAACACAAAACUACUAUAAAAAUUGAAUUAAUAGAUAAGAAUAGCAUAAUAACACAAAAACCAUUAACAUAUAAUUUUGAUGAUUUAAAAGAAUUUAAAAUGCACAUAGAUGAAUUAUUAGAAAAACAAUAUAUACAAAAAAGUAAUAGUAAACAUAAUAGUCCAGCAUUUAUAGUAAAUAAACAUAGUGAACAAAAAAGAGGAAAAAGUAGGAUGGUUAUUGACUAUAGAAAUUUAAAUGCAAAAACUAUAACAUAUAAUUAUCCGAUACCAAAUAAGAUAUUAAAAAUAAGACAAAUCCAAGGAUAUAAUUAUUUUAGCAAAUUUGAUUGUAAAUCAGGAUUUUACCACCUAAAGCUAGAAGAAGAAUCUAAAGAAUUAACCGCAUUUACGGUACCACAAGGAUUUUAUGAAUGGAACGUGUUACCAUUUGGAUAUAAAAAUGCACCAGGUAGAUAUCAACAUUUUAUGGAUAAUUAUUUUAAACAAUUAUCUAAUUGUAUAGUAUACAUAGAUGAUAUAUUAUUAUACACCAAAACCAAAGAAGAACAUUUAAAAUUAUUAGAACAAUUCACAGAUAUAAUAGAAAAAUCAGGAAUAAGUCUAAGCAAAAAGAAAGCUGAAAUUAUGAAAAACCAGAUAGAAUUUUUAGGAAUACAAAUAGAUAAAAGUGGAGUAAAAAUGCAACAACAUAUAGUACAAAAAAUAAUAAAUUCGAAAGAAGAAUUAGAUACAAAAAAGAAAUUACAAUCAUUUUUAGGAUUAGUAAACCAAGUAAGAGAAUAUAUUCCAAAAUUAGCAGAAACCUUAAAACCACUGCAGAAAAAAUUAAAAAAGGAUAUAGAAUAUAAUUAUGAUGAAAAAGAUAAAAAACAAGUUCAAAAAAUAAAAUUACUUUGUAGAGAAUUACCAAAAUUGCAAUUUCCAGAUGAAAAUAGAAAAUUUAUAUAUAUAGUAGAAGCAGAUGCAAGUGAAUAUAGUUACGGAGGAGUACUUAAAUAUCGAUAUGAAGCAGAAAAAAUAGAACACCAUUGUAGAUACUACUCAGGUACGUUCAACGAGACAGAAAUAAAAUGGGAAAUAAAUAGGAAAGAAUUAUGUUCAUUAUAUAAAUGUUUAUUAGCAUUUGAGCCAUAUAUUGUAUAUAACAAAUUUAUUGUACGAACAGAUAAUACACAGGUACGCUGGUGGUUAACAAAGAAAAUACAAAAUUCAGUUACAACAAAAGAGAUUCGAAGACUAGUUUUAAAUAUAUUAAAUUUCACAUUUACAAUUGAAGUGAUCAGUACUAACAAAAAUGUUAUUGCAGAUUACAUAUCAAGACAAAGCUACACAGACUGAAAUAGUAGAGGAAGAUACUCUAGAAAAAAUACUUAACACCCUAACUACGCUUUCAAUGAAAGUGGACAGUAUGGGUAAUGAGAUAGAAAAGCUAAAGACUAAUGAAGAUAAACUGAAGUCUAUAGCUACAAAUCAGCUAACUCAGCAGUGUGCAGAGCUAUGUCGACCGGAAGACAUUAAAAAUCCAGAGCUAGAAGGAGACGUUGGGACACUCCAUAAAACCCAUAACAUUUAUCAAUCUACUUCUGCAGGUACAAGCAAAGGAGUUAAUAGACCAAGAUACCAGAAUGUAAAUAUGAACAAAAUAUUUGAAAAACCAUUUACCCCAAAAGCACAAAAAGACCAUUUAUUCAUACCCCCACAAGUUAACACAUACCGAGACAGCCUAAACCAAGACAAGAAAAUAUACAACUACACAGCCCAAAAAUACAUAGAAAAUAUAUAUAGAGUCCAAACCUUUCUAAACCAUAACCCCAGAGCUACAAAUAUCCAAGAACCAAAUACCAAUUAUAUAACCCAAAAACUACAAGGAUACAAUAAACUGAUAGCACUACCCAAAACUAACCCAAGCCUAGUUAAAACCUGUUUUGACUAUGGACUACUAAAUACCAUAUACACCCAAGACGGAGAAGAGCUAACAGCUAUGGAGGAAUUAUACAAGAUAUUCACUACCUACAAAAGAAUAAAAAAAGGAAAUUUAUUUUAUAUAAAGUGUUAUACUGCACCAGCAGAGAUAUUAUAUGAUGAAAUAAAACCAGUGAUACAGGUUGUAAAGAUAGGACUGACAAGAGAUAUGAAUAUACCGGAAGAUAUAUCGCGACAACCGGAGAUACCUAGAAUAGAGAUACCAGAUUUUUACGCAAAUAAAAGACUGAUUGGACUAGCUACUAUUAUACAAGAACUAGCAAAUAACUACGCUAACGGAAAUCCAAUAUGGAGCUACUAUUCAAGAGACCACCAAAUGAUAUAUUCAAAUUCGAAAGAACUAAGACAAGCAGAUAUGGAAGACGUAAGACAAUGGAUAC
rnacentral:lncRNA from 1 species